rnacentral:rRNA from 1 species
UACGAAGGGGCUAGCGUUGCUCGGAAUCACUGGGCGUAAAGGGUGCGUAGGCGGGUCUUUAAGUCAGGGGUGAAAUCCUGGAGCUCAACUCCAGAACUGCCUUUGAUACUGGCGAUCUCGAGUCCGGGAGAGGUGAGUGGAACUGCGAGUGUAGAGGUGAAAUUCGUAGAUAUUCGCAAGAACACCAGUGGCGAAGGCGGCUCACUGGCCCGGUACUGACGCUGAGGUGCGAAAGCGUGGGGAGCAAACAGG